rnacentral:rRNA from 1 species
GGCCCGACCUCCCAAUCCUGUGUCUAACUGUACCAUGUUGCUUCGGCGGGGCCCGUCCUUUCGUUUCAUGCGAGAGGACUGCCGGGGGGUCGCACGACCCUUUGGCCAGUGCCUGCCGAUGGCCUAACUACAAACUCUUGAAUAACCAUGUUGUCUGAGUUGUACCUACAAAAGUAAAGUAAAACUUUCAACAACGGAUCUCUUGGUUCUGGCAUCGAUGAAGAACGCAGCGAAAUGCGAUAAGUAAUGCGAAUUGCAGAAUCCGUGAGUCAUCGAAUCUUUGAACGCACAUUGCGCCCUCUGGUAUUCCGGGGGGCAUGCCUGUUCGAGCGUCAUUAUCCCUUCUCAAGCCCCGUGUUUGGUGUUGGACCUGUGUUGGUCGUACCCCGACCAACUGGUCUCGAAGACAAUGACGGCGUCCGUGGGACUCUCGAUACACCGAGCUUUUUUUCGAGGCACGUACCGAGUUGAAAGGUCCCUCCGGCCCGGUCUCCCCUCUAGAAUCUUUCUUUUAAGGUUGACCUCGGAUCAGGUAGGAAUACCCGCUGAACUUAAGCAUAUCAAUAAGCGGAGGAA